rnacentral:rRNA from 1 species
GAUGAACGCUAGGCGGGAGGCUUAACACAUGCAAGUCGAGGGGCAGCAUAGGGUAGCAAUACUCUGAUGGCGACCGGCAAACGGGUGAGUAACGCGUAUGUAACCUACCCUGUACAGGGGGAUAACCCGGAGAAAUUCGGACUAAUAUCCCAUAACAAUAUCCGGGGGCAUCUUUGGAUAUUUAAAGUUCCGGCGGUACGGGAUGGGCAUGCGUAACAUUAGCUAGUUGGUAAGGUAACGGCUUACCAAGGCUUUGAUGUUUAGGGGUCCUGAGAGGGUGGUCCCCCACACUGGUACUGAGACACGGACCAGACUCCUACGGGAGGCAGCAGUGAGGAAUAUUGGUCAAUGGGCGCAAGCCUGAACCAGCCAUCCCGCGUGCAGGAAGACGGCGCUAUGCGUUGUAAACUGCUUUUCCAGGGAGAGAAACUUGCGCACGUGUUGCGCAAUUGACGGUACCCUGGGAAUAAGCAUCGGCUAACUCCGUG